rnacentral:lncRNA from 1 species
UCCAAUGGCCCCUACCUGCUUCUUCGCCUUGUACUGUUACCGCUGAUACUCGCGGCGGCGGUGAGGGGAGCUGAUCAAGAAGAUGGAGGCUGCCUGGCCAGCAAGAAAUGCGGCGACCUGAAUAUCUCCUCUCCGGCCAGGCAGAUAAGCCGUGUGGUAUAUUGCAACAACUCCACCGGCGUCGCAACUCUUCGAAGCUCUACGGACAGCGGGUUUGAUAUCAUCAACAUAUCAUAUGGGGACCGUACUCUGCUCGUCUUUGAUGUCCAUAGACUCGCUCGCCUGAAUAGCUCCACUGACUGCCGUAUCCCAGUAUUUAACACCUUCGCCAAGCUGCCCGUCGCGUUUACAAUCAGCCCUUCCAAUCUCAACCUCGUCUUCUACAACUGCACCAAGGCGCCGUCGGCGGAGCAGCAGCGACAACUGGGGCUCGUCGAGACGAGAUGCGGUAACAACGCGUUUGCUCGGCUGGGAGGGCGUUUCGACGGACCGGGCGACUACGACAAGUACUAUUUGGAAGGCUGCAGCAGCAACAGCACCGUCUUCUCGCCGGUGCUGGAGCCGCCUGAUGGCAAGGCUAACGCCAGCAGGUAUGUGGAGCUCGUGCGUGGAGGCUUCCUCAUAACAUGGGACCUGCCAAAGAACCGGCAGUUCAAGUUCCAGAUCAUCGACAUCUUCUACAGCAACAGCUCCUUGCUUGUCACCGAUGUCCGAAAGACCGACGACUUCGACAACUCCAGUGGCUGCCAUGUCCCGAGGUCCAACACCUCCUCCAAGCUCGUUGUACAACUGCAUGCACCAAGCUUCCGACGGCAGCGGUGCGGCGUCUCCUCGGUCUCGUCGAGACGAAAUGAAGCAACAACACGUUCGCUCGCCUCGAGGAGAGUUACAACGAAGGGCUGCGACGCCGUGAUCGUGCCGGUGAGGGGUAGAGAUGGCGAGGCAAACGCGAGCAGCUACGAGCAGCUCAUCAGUGAUGGUUUCCUCUUGACAUGGCAGCCGCCGGCCGCCGCCGCAGAAUUCCUCGCCUUCUUCGUCUCGCCCAAAUCUGCUGCGUAUCGAUCGAUCGCUUCCACUGCAGCAUGCAUCCGUUUCGUGCUUCUGCAACUGCUAUGA